CCCUUAGAUGUCCGGGGCCGCACGCGCGCUACACUGAAGGAAUCAGCGUGGCUUUCUCCCUGACCCGAAAGGGUUGGGAAACCCGUUGAAUCCCCUUCGUGAUAGGGAUUGGGGCUUGAAAUUGUUCCCCAUGAACGAGGAAUUCCCAGUAAGCGCGAGUCAUAAGCUCGCGUUGAUUACGUCCCUGCCCUUUGUACACACCGCCCGUCGCUACUACCGAUUGAACGGUUUAGUGAGGGCCUCGGAUUGGUCUCGGCCCGCUCUUUACCGGGCGGCGCCGUUGGUCGAGAAGACGCUCGAACUUGAUCGUUUAGAGGAAGUAAAAGUCGUAACA
rnacentral:rRNA from 1 species